UGAUAAUUACAUGGUAGUUAGUACAUGC
rnacentral:sRNA from 1 species